UGGGGAAUAUUGCACAAUGGGCGCAAGCCUGAUGCAGCCAUGCCGCGUGUAUGAAGAAGGCCUUCGGGUUGUAAAGUACUUUCAGCGGGGAGGAAGGCGAUAAGGUUAAUAACCUUGUCGAUUGACGUUACCCGCAGAAGAGGCACCGGCUAACUCCGUGCCAGCAGCCGCGGUAAUACGGAGGGUGCAAGCGUUAAUCGGAAUUACUGGGCGUAAAGCGCACGCAGGCGGUCUGUCAAGUCGGAUGUGAAAUCCCCGGGCUCAACCUGGGAACUGCAUUCGAAACUGGCAGGCUAGAGUCUUGUAGAGGGGGGUAGAAUUCCAGGUGUAGCGGUGAAAUGCGUAGAGAUCUGGAGGAAUACCGGUGGCGAAGGCGGCCCCCUGGACAAAGACUGACGCUCAGGUGCGAAAGCGUGGGGAGCAAACA
rnacentral:rRNA from 1 species